rnacentral:rRNA from 1 species
CGGAGGGAAACCGAGUCUUAAUUGGGCGUUAAGUUGCAGGGUAUAGACCCGAAACCCGGUGAUCUAGCCAUGGGCAGGUUGAAGGUUGGGUAACACUAACUGGAGGACCGAACCGACUAAUGUUGAAAAAUUAGCGGAUGACCUGUGGCUGGGGGUGAAAGGCCAAUCAAACCGGGAGAUAGCUGGUUCUCCCCGAAAGCUAUUUAGGUAGCGCCUCGUGAAUUCAUCUCCGGGGGUAGAGCACUGUUUCGGCUAGGGGGCCAUCCCGGCUUACCAACCCGAUGCAAACUGCGAAUACCGGAGAAUGUUAUCACGGGAGACACACGGCGGGUGCUAACGUCCGUCGUGAAGAGGGAAACAACCCAGACCGCCAGCUAAGGUCCCAAAGUCAUGGUUAAGUGGGAAACGAUGUGGGAAGGCCCAGACAGCCAGGAUGUUGGCUUAGAAGCAGCCAUCAUUUAAAGAAAGCGUAAUAGCUCACUGGUCGAGUCGGCCUGCGCGGAAGAUGUAACGGGGCUAAACCAUGCACCGAAGCUGCGGCAGCGACGCUGAUGCGUUGUUGGGUAGGGGAGCGUUCUGUAAGCCUGCGAAGGUGGCCUGUGAGGGUUGCUGGAGGUAUCAGAAGUGCGAAUGCUGACAUAAGUAACGAUAAAGCGGGUGAAAAGCCCGCUCGCCGGAAGACCAAGGGUUCCUGUCCAACGUUAAUCGGGGCAGGGUGAGUCGACCCCUAAGGCGAGGCCGAAAGGCGUAGUCGAUGGGAAACGGGUUAAUAUUCCCGUACUUGGUGUUACUGCGAAGGGGGGACGGAGAAGGCUAUGUUGGCCGGGCGACGGUU